ACAUCAGGAGCCAUAACUCCUCGUCCAGAAAUCUUGAAGAUGAGGACAACCCCUAGACCUAUUAUUGGUAACUUUCAGAUUCUUGCAUUUUCACAAACUUAUUUAUGCGAGUGCUUUUCUUUGUGUUCAAUUCAUUUGGAGCUUGAUCCUGCCUUUGUAUCCAGCCGUUUAAACAUGCUCUUCUUUUUUGUUCAAGACAAGACAUAAUACAUGGAAACAUGCAACCUGAAAACAUAUUUGCGAGCAGAUGCUCUAGUUGUUACGCGUGAGUGUAGGAACAAUGGUGAUCAGACUGUGCAGUAUGUUGAACUGUAGCUGACAAUGCUUAGCUUGAAAUUAGAUAAUUUUACCUUCUCUUGGCUUGGCUCACAACAAUGCGAAAGUUAACUAAUGGAGGAAAGAUAUAGUGAUGCAUCCUAUAAGAGAUGUCAUGUCAAAUAAGAAAUCCGAUACUCAAGUUAGAGCUUCAAAUAGAUGUACUCUGUUUUUUUACAUCAGUUUUAAUCUGACACUGCAAAAUGAAAUUUAGGAACUCUAUCAAGAUUGUGCUUUAUACUGGGCUGUGUAUGAGCUCUAACUUUCUGGAGAAGCAAAUUAGAGACGGAUUGCGAACUCCUUUUCUUGAAUCAUAUAUAACAUUCUCUACAUGAUCUGCAUGGUGCCAAUACGGCCUUUGCAUAUGCUUUAGUUGAAUAUAUAUUUCACUUAAAACUCAAAAG
rnacentral:lncRNA from 1 species